UACGUAGGGGGCUAGCGUUGUCCGGAUUUAUUGGGCGUAAAGAGCGUGUAGGCGGCCAAGUAGGUCCGGUGUGAAAACUCGAGGCUUAACCUCGAGAUGUCAUCGGAAACCAUUUGGCUAGAGUCCGGAAGAGGAAAGCGGAAUUCCUGGUGUAGCGGUGAAAUGCGCAGAUAUCAGGAGGAACACCAGCGGCGAAGGCGGCGCUCUGGGCCGGUACUGACACUGAGGAGCGAAAGCGUGGGUAGCAAACAGG
rnacentral:rRNA from 1 species